rnacentral:rRNA from 1 species
AUGCACGCUGGCGGCGUGCCUAAUCCCUGCAAGUCGAGCGAACAGACGAGAGUGCUUGCACUCUCUGACGUUAGCGGCGGACGGGUGAGUAACACGUGGGUAACCUACCUAUAAGACUGGGAUAACUUCGGGAAACCGGAGCUAAUACCGGAUAAUAUUUAGCUUCGCAUGAAGCAAUAGUGAAAGACGGUUCUGCUGUCACUUAUAGAUGGACCCGCGGUGUAUUAGCUGGUUGGUGAGGUAACGGCUCACCAAGGCAACGAUACAUAGCCGACCUGAGAGGGUGAUCGGCCACACUGGGACUGAGACACGGCCCAGACUCCUACGGGAGGCAGCAGUAGGGAAUCUUCCGCAACGGACGAAAGUCUGACGGAGCAAUGCCGCGUGAGUGAAGAAGGUUUUCGGAUCGUAAAACUCUGUUGUAAGGGAAGAACAAGUACGUUAGUAACUGAACGUACCUUGACGGUACCUUACCAGAAAGCCACGGCUAACUACGUG